UAGGCUUGAAAUGUGAAACAGAAGUUGAUGAGUGUAAAUCAUCUCCUUGUCACAACAAUGGAAUCUGUAAAGAUGGCAUUGGGACCUUUGUUUGCCAUUGUCAACGAGGCUAUUCAGGUCUCUUGUGUGAGGAGGACGUAAAUGAAUGUAACUCCAGUCCAUGUUUGAAUGGAGCCCACUGUGUUGAUGGCAAGAACGGUUACCGCUGCACUUGUGCGAAAGGGUUCACAGGUGGUCACUGUGAAACGGAGGUCAAUGAAUGCCUUUCAAACCCGUGUCUUAAUAGGGCUACUUGUGAAGAUCGAGUUGGCAGUUUCUCCUGCAAGUGCCCCCCAGGUUUUACUGGUGUCUUGUGUGAAAGAAACAUCGAUGAGUGUCUCAGCAGACCCUGUAGGAAUGGAGCUACAUGCAGAGAUGGUAU
rnacentral:lncRNA from 1 species